CGCGGGAUGGAGCAGUCUGGUAGCUCGUCGGGCUCAUAACCCGAAGGUCGUUGGUUCAAAUCCAGCUCCCGC
rnacentral:tRNA from 1 species